GAUGAACGCUGGCGGCGUGCUUAACACACGCAAGUCGAACGGUGAAAGCGGAGCUUGCUCCGCUGGAUCAGUGGCGAACGGGUGAGUAACACGUGGGCAACCUGCCCCUGACUUCGGGAUAACUCCUCGAAAGAGGUGCUAAUACCGGAUACGAAUCCUGCAGGCAUCUGCGGGAUUGGAAAGUUUUUCGGUCAGGGAUGGGCCCGCGGCCUAUCAGCUUGUGGGUGAGGUAGUGGCUCACCAAGGCGACGACGGGUAGCCGGCCUGAGAGGGCGACCGGCCCCCCUGGGGCUGAGACACGGCCCAGACUCCAACGGGAGGCAGCGGUGGGGAAUAUUGCACAAUGGGCGCAAGCCUGAUGCGGCAACGCCGCGUGGGGGAUGACGGCCUUCGGGUUGUAAACCUCUUUCAGCAGGGACGAAGCGCAAGUGACGGUACCUGCAGAAGAAGCACCGGCCAACUACGUGCCAGCAGCCGCCGUAA
rnacentral:rRNA from 1 species